UGCGCAGGCGGGGUAGUAAGUCAGUGGUGAAAUCCUGCGGCUCAACCGUAGAACUGCCAUUGAUACUGCUAUCCUCGAGUGUAGUUGAGGUGGGCGGAAUGUGUAAUGUAGCGGUGAAAUGCAUAGAUAUUACACAGAACACCGAUUGCGAAGGCAGCUCACUAAACUACUACUGACGCUGAGGCACGAAAGCGUGGGGAGCGAACAGGAUUAGAUACCCUGGUAGUCC
rnacentral:rRNA from 1 species